rnacentral:rRNA from 1 species
UGGCGUGCGUCACCGCUAGGUGUUGUGAAGAUUAAUGUGGACGGAGCCGUGGGACGUCAUAGACGUGGCGGGGCAGUGGCAGCAGUGUGCCGAGAUCACACGGGAGUUUAUUUGGGCUCAUCAGCGGUUGUUUAUCGCGGAAUUACUGACCCCAUGAUCUUGGAAACAUUCGCGUGCAGGGAAGCUCUAGCUCUUGCAGAGGAUCUUCAGUCAACAAGAAUGAUGAUUGCUUCAGAUUGCAAAGGAGUGAUUCAAGAUAUAAACGAAGGAACAAACGGUCCACAUGCGGCUAUAGUACAUGAAAUAACACUUCGGAGAGGCUUUUUCAAUUCGGUUGCUUUUGUGUUGAGCGUAUAA